rnacentral:rRNA from 1 species
CAGGUAACAGGAUAUUAGGGCAUGACAUCAGAGAGGGAGCCUGAAAAACAGCUAUCACAUCCAAGGAAGGCAGCAGGCACGCAAAUUACCCAAUCCCGACACGGGGAGGUAGUGACAAUAAAUAACAAUACGGGGUUCUUUCGGAUUUCGUAAUUGGAAUGAGUACAAUUUAAAUCUCUUAACGAGGAACAAUUGGAGGGCAAGUCUGGUGCCAGCAGCCGCGGUAAUUCCAGCUCCAAUAGCGUAUAUUAAAGUUGCUGCAGUUAAAAAGCUCGUAGUUGAAUUUCGGGACCGAUAUAUCGGUCGUGCCUCGGUACGUACUGGUAUUUUCGGUUCCUCCCUUCUGACGAACCUUGAUGUCAUUGAUUUGGUGUCUUGGGAAAUCAGGACUGUUACUUUGAAAAAAUUAGAGUGUUUAAAGCAGGCUCGCGCUUGAAUACAUUAGCAUGGAAUAAUGAAAUAGGACGUUUGAUUCUAUUUUGUUGGUUUCUAGGAUCGACGUAAUGAUUAAUAGGGAUAGUUGGGGGCAUUAGUAUUCAAUUGUCAGAGGUGAAAUUCUUGGAUUUAUUGAAGACUAACUACUGCGAAAGCAUUUGCCAAGGAUGUUUUCAUUAAUCAAGAACGAAAGUUAGGGGAUCGAAGACGAUCAGAUACCGUCGUAGUCUUAACCAUAAACUAUGCCGACUAGGGGAUCGGAUGAUGUUAAUUUUUUAAUGACCCAUUCGGCGCCUUACGG